rnacentral:rRNA from 1 species
CACGUAGUUAGCCGGGGCUUCUUAGUCAGGUACCGUCACUUUCUUCCCUGCUGAUAGAAGUUUACAUACCGAAAUACUUCUUCCUUCACGCGGCGUCGCUGCAUCAGGGUUUCCCCCAUUGUGCAAUAUUCCCCACUGCUGCCUCCCGUAGGAGUUUGGGCCGUGUCUCAGUCCCAAUGUGGCCGUUCACCCUCUCAGGCCGGCUACUGAUCGUCGGUUUGGUGGGCCGUUACCCCGCCAACUGCCUAAUCAGACGCGGAUCCAUCUCACACCACCUCAGUUUUUCACACUGUCCCAUGCGAGACUGUGCGCUUAUGCGGUAUUAGCAGUCAUUUCUAACUGUUAUCCCCCUGUGUGAGGCAGGUUAUCCACGCGUUACUCACCCGUCCGCCACUCAGUCACAGAAAGCUUCAAACCGAAGUAAUCUGCUUUCUGUGCUUCGUUCGACUUGCAUGUGUUAAGCACGCCGCCAGCGUUCAUCCUGACGCCAGGAUCUAAA